ensembl:lncRNA
AUCAAAUAUUCUAUAAAAUAUAAAUACACUGAACUCAUUUGGAUAUAUUUAAGUGAGACUCGACAAUAUUGUUUGACACAAAUCUAUCUAAAUCAAAAUUUUAAUCAUUUUCACGCCAAACAUUUACUGGACUGAUUUAAAUAUUCAAAUCACUCCUUUCUAAUCCUCUGCUGUACGUUCAAACCUGAGGCCUUAAACAGAAACACACAAGUAUCUGUUUGAAGGAACUUCUGCAGAGUCCUGGUUCCAGAACAUGAUGAUAGAAUUAUAGACAAACUUUAACAAAAGCUGCCUGAGAGUUUACAGGUUUUUAUGUUAGAUUUCUUCAGUAAUUUAAUGAGAGUUAUCAGCAAAAAUCAAGUGUUCAUUUGAUGAACUUCAUUUCCUAAAACAUCCAGAAUUGGAGCUCAUAUCUUUGGCAGCUGUAAAGUUUCUGCUCCUUCAAAGUUCACAACACAAUGAAUGAAUUCCUAAAACACUCUCAAUGCUGGAGAGCGUUUGUGAUGCUGAAGCAGUGAGCAGUUUUUCUGUUUCUUCUCUGGAGAUGCACAAUGAGGGACGUCUGCAGAGACUGAGAAAGAGUCUCACCACAUCCUGACAUGAGGAAAAAGACUUUAUUGAAGACUACAAUGAGAAAAACUAUCAGACAGCAGACGGCUGCAUUCAAGAAGACCAUCAAACAUCCACGUCAGCUGAUGGAGGUCCAAGAGUCUCACCCAACAAACAACCUACAGAGUGAAGACCUCGAACCUGAUUGGACGGCCUCCUAUUCAGCCACAUGUGUGAACAAAUGCCUCUAAGCUGAUUGGUUUUCUAAAAUAAAUCUAGUUUGAAUCCUAAUCUAUGCCUGAGUGUUUGCUCCUUUACACCGCUGUUAACAGUUUAGGCUGUUAGAUUUUUGCAGAUAAGACAAGUACAAGAUACUCCAGAGCUGUUCUACCACGACGAGCCUGACAGGAAGAA